rnacentral:rRNA from 1 species
CCAAUAGCGUAUAUUAAAGUUGUUGCAGUUAAAAAGCUCGUAGUUGAAUUUCGGGAUCAGUACGCUGGUCGUGCCUCGGUAUGCACUGGUGUCACUGAUUCCUCCCUUCUGACGAACUAUCAUGCCAUUCAGUUGGUGUGGUAGGGAAUCAGGACUGUUACUUUGAAAAAAUUAGAGUGUUUAAAGUAGGCUCACGCUUUAAUACAUUAGCAUGGAAUAAUGAAAUAGGACGUUGAUCUUAUUUUGUUGGUUUCUAGGAUUGACGUAAUGAUUAAUAGGGAUAGUUGGGGGCAUUAGUAUUCAAUUGUCAGAGGUGAAAUUCUUGGAUUUAUUGAAGACUAACUACUGCGAAAGCAUUUGCCAAGGAUGUUUUCAUUAAUCAAGAACGAAAGUUAGGGGAUCGAAGACGAUCAGAUACCGUCGUAGUCUUAACCAUAAACUAUGCCGACUAGGGAUCGGAUGAUGUUAAUUUUUUAAUGACUCAUUCGGCGCCUUACG